rnacentral:rRNA from 1 species
AGUGAACGCUGGCGGUAGGCCUAACACAUGCAAGUCGAACGGCAGCACAGUAAGAGCUUGCUCUUACGGGUGGCGAGUGGCGGACGGGUGAGGAAUACAUCGGAAUCUACUUUUUCGUGGGGGAUAACGUAGGGAAACUUACGCUAAUACCGCAUACGACCUACGGGUGAAAGCAGGGGAUCUUCGGACCUUGCGCGAUUGAAUGAGCCGAUGUCGGAUUAGCUAGUUGGCGGGGUAAAGGCCCACCAAGGCGACGAUCCGUAACUGGUCUGAGAGGAUGAUCAGCCACACUGGAACUGAGACACGGUCCAGACUCCUACGGGAGGCAGCAGUGGGGAAUAUUGGACUAUGGGCGCAAGCCUGAUCCAGCCAUACCGCGUGGGUGAAGAAGGCCUUCGGGUUGUAAAGCCCUUUUGUUGGGAAAGAAAAGCAGCAGGUUAAUACCCCGCUGUUCUGACGGUACCCAAAGAAUAAGCACCGGCUAACUUCGUG